rnacentral:snRNA from 1 species
UUUACAUUUGCUGCCACUGAUAU